AAUGAACGCUGGCGGCAGGCCUAAGACAUGCAAGUCGAACGCUCUAGCAAUAGAGAGUGGCGCACGGGUGAGUAACACGUGGGAAUAUGCCUUUUGGUACGGAACAACGUCUGGAAACGGACGCUAAUACCGUAUGGUCCCUCCGGGGUAAAGAUUUAUCGCCAAAAGAUUAGCCCGCGUCUGAUUAGCUAGUUGGUGAGGUAAUGGCUCACCAAGGCGACGAUCAGUAGCUGGUCUGAGAGGACGAUCAGCCACACUGGGACUGAGACACGGCCCAGACUCCUACGGGAGGCAGCAGUUAGGAAUAUUGGACAACGGGCGCAAGCCUGAUCCAGCCAUGCCGCGUGAGUGAUGAAGGCCUUCGGGUUGUAAAGCUCUUUAGUCCACGAAUAUAAUGACUGUAGUGGAAGAAUAAGCCCCGGCUAACUUCGUGCCAGCCGCCGCAGUAACAC
rnacentral:rRNA from 1 species